CAUUCUGUAUUUAACAGGUUAACGCUAUUUGGUACCGCUUGCAGGGCGGCGACCACGAGUUACCUGCCCCUAUACAAUGAGUUAAUUGCCCCUGUAUUUCAUCUGUUAAGUUGUACUUAAAAUAGGCUAACUCUUGCGCAAAAAAAGAUAGAAAAUAUCAAAUAUGGGAAAGCGGGACGAUAGACCAAACAUAUCUACGAAGAGACCGUUGGUGCCGGAUAUAUCUCUGUCUUUAGUAGUGUCCGCGAGGUAUAUUAAUUUAUAAAACAUGAGAUAUUAGUACCAUAUUGCCCGGGAAUCAAAAAUUUUUUGCAAGAUCGGUAAGUAUAUUCAAUAUAGGCUAAACAAGCACAAGGCCAGGGCACGUGGUAAGUCAUUCCGCAGCGCAGGAAUGACCAAAACUAGCCUACUACGGUACCAUUUACAGAAAUUACCAAAAAAAAAAGACAAAAAUUACCGAGAGAGGAGCUAAAAUGACCUCAGUAAUACAUGACAUCUACUAUCAUAUUCACAUUAAAAAUUUUGGUCCCUCCUUUGACGACUUCAAUAAUUUUUAAUUUCGGUCAUAUCUUUGGUAUUUUCUGUGAACGUUUGUAAUUUCGGACAUUAUAUGUAACAAUCCUACUAUUCAUUCCACAAUGAAGGCCAGUGGGCCUAGAUUUUUAAUUUGAUACACGUAUAAACUUAACACUGCGCAAGUUACGUCACGGAAUGCAGUAUAGGGGAGGAGAAAAUAUUUGGCUGGACCAGGAGUCGAACCUAGGAUCCCUGCAUUACUAGUCAGGUGCUCUAACCACUGAGCUAUCCAGGUCGAUAUCCACGGUCCGUGUAGCCCUAACUACUAAAUUCCUCCCUUUAAUUUGUUUUUGCCGUCGAAGACACACAACCCAGAUUCAUUUCACCCCUGGCAGGACGAGUAGUCACGGCACCAACUGGUAAAAUCUUGCACAGAGGUCCCUAGGUUCAAUUCCCGAUCCAGCCACAAAUUUUCUCCGUGUAUGUCUAUCUGAGACUGAGUUGGAAAAUUACGGUAUCUUCAUAGUGACAAACUAAUGAAAAUAUUGAUCAAAUUCGACUGGUCAAGGACUGUUAAUAUAAAUAAAUUUGAAACAUUGGUCAUUGUAAUGAUUGGUUUCAUGUUAUACUAAGCUUGUGUUUCAAGACAAGGCUGUCUUUGUUGGUGAUGAUACUGAUGUAUAUAUUUAGAAACAAGUAAUGCUUUGAUUUUGAUUACAGGUGUGGUCUUUAAAAAAAUUAAUGCAUGGCAAGGUUGAUAGUGAGACUAAUAAAUUCUUUCAACAGAAUUCAGCUAGACACACAAAAAAAAAAGACAAUCACUACAGCCUUCCAAGAAGAUGGACUGCCUCACAAUAGUUUCCUUGAGGACUGUCUUGAAAUAUCCAGAGUUUAAGAUUCAAGAAACGGACUCUAUCUGGAAAAGGAAAACAAUAUCAAAGCUCCUCUGUGAGAAGUUGGCCAAGGAAAGCAUUCAGAAGAAAGUGGAGAUUCAUUGUUUUUACCAGAUCCAGCAGAUCACAGAAAGCAUCUAGUAGGGGAGUUUCCAGGAUUAAGCCAGCCAGUAGAUGAGACUAUUAUAUCAAAAAUACAUUUACUUGUACACGAGGGCACACAAAGCGUUGAUGAAACAAAAAGACAUUUCCGUCUGUUUGUAAAGGAUACUAUUUCACCAGGGAACACCAUCUCAGAAUUUAACAGAUGCUUUUACCCCGCCAAUAAGGAUGUAAGAAAUCACAUUUACAGGGCACCGAGAUUUUGCCAGUAAGUUCUAAAA